rnacentral:lncRNA from 11 species
UAGUAGAAUUGCCAGAUAGACCACAGGACUUGGCUUCUGUACCUUUAAAAGAUAUGUAGUAGAGGGAUUUUCAGUACUAUUACUCAUCUCACAACCAGGUAACAAGCAGCACCUGCUGGAAUUCCCUGUUUUACAUAGCCAAGAUACAAGUGCUAUCUCCUGUUUUCACUCUGACAGUUGACUAAGGUAGCCAUAUUUCUUGCUUAACUGGAUUUUACCUGAAUUCUUACUCCUUCCUUUAAAUCAGUGCUAAUGGAAUGGUUGUCUAGAUUCUGGGGCAAAUAGAAUGAAUGAAAAACCAACAAGCCUACAAAGCUCAUUCUGGUGCAAGCAGACUGUGGUUAUUCACAGCUCUGCUAAGAUUGCAGAUUUGGGCCCUGGAAUGUCAAGCUUCUAGAAAACCAGAUGAAACACAGAUGGCUUGAAAGCAAAAUCAGAAACAUUAUUCUCAAUGGCCAGAGAGGAUGUCAGUAGAGGCAACACUACAAAGAACACAUAACAUAUGUAUUGUAUUCUGACAACUAUUCCAAGCCUACCGUGCUGGCUCCUGAUUGAAUUAGAAAUAUCCAACUAGGAUCCAUUCCCGAAGUGGUCCAGGGUGAUGUUCAAAGUUAUUGCUGGUUGGUCUUUGCUGUGGACUGUCAUUUGAUUGAUUUUAAGAUUUGUGUCCACUUAUUAAUAUGCCCAUGAGAGGAGUGUGAUCAGAAAGGAAUGUGGUGAGGCAAGCAAUAAUGGGCUUAAUAUUCUAGCUCUGGUUGAUACAUUGGUGUUAGUCCAGGUAAGCAAUGGGUGCUUAAGAUGAUGGCUGUCUUAAUGGGUGAAAUUGGUUUGGCAGCAUAGGAGAGGAAGCAUUCCCACAGAUAACCCAGAUCGUAUCAGGUGAAACAAGAAAGUGGAUCCAGAGGUUCUGAUUGUGUGUCUCCCCCGAGCCUCC